UGUUUGUUUUCUUUCUUUUUUGAGACAGAAUCUGGAUCUGUUGCCCAGUGAGACUCCCAUCUCUAUUUUUAGAAAUUAAAAAUAAAUAAGAUAAAUGUAUAGCUAUACUAGUAGACAUGAAGGGUUAUCUAGUGGUUUUAGCAUAACCAGUAUUUUUACUGUAUAUGUGUACUGAGAAACUUGAAGCCAAGUUAAUUACCACAAUUUAAAUAAGAACAUUCUUAUAUUUUACCUUUCUUCAUAGAUUCUUUUUCCAUUCCCUCCUUGUAUGUGUACAAGAGUUCAUCAACUUCCUUCAGAUCCAGGAAGCCUGAGCCAUCACUGUCCCACUUCUGAAAGAUGGCUUCUAGGAGAAGCCUCUGUCGGACUUGGAAAGCAUUUUGGCUAAACUAGGAUACAAACAGGAUAAUAAAGCAUGGAAGAUACAUGUUCAUUGUGCUAGCUAGCAUUCUGUGUUUAUUCCAAAAAAAGUCCAGCAUCUUUUGUUAAAACAGCUUUACUCUGAGGCUAAGCAUAUUAAUGGAAAAUGCAGUGAUUCAGCAGUGGUGCAUCCCUGUAAAGCCAGCCACUCAAGAGGCUGAGGCAGGAGUAU
rnacentral:antisense_RNA from 1 species